rnacentral:rRNA from 1 species
UCCUGGAGAUUCACUCGUAUGGGUGGCAGCGGUAGGGACUAUUGGGCAUUGGGCGAAAGCGGGAAGAAGCGACGCCGCGUGGGUGAUGAAGGCGUUGGAGUCGUAAAGGUCGGUAGGAGGGAACGAAUGCUUUGGGGGUUAACAGCCCCGGAAAGUGACGGUACCCUCAAAGGAAGCACGGGCUAACUACGUGCCAGCAGCCGCGGUAAUACGUAGGGUGCGAGCGUUAAUCGGAAUUACUGGGCGUAAAGGGCGUGUAGGCGGAUCUGUAAGUGGGAUGUGAAAUGCCCCGGCUCACCUGGGGACCUGCAUUCCAAACUGCCAGUCUAGAGUAUGGGAGAGGAUGAGGGAAUUCUUGGUGUAGCGGUGAAAUGCGUAGAUAUCAGGAGGAACACCGGUGGCGAAGGCGCUCAUCUGGCCCAAUACUGACGCUGAGGCGCGAAAGCUAGGGGAGCAAACGGGAUUAGAUACCCCGGUAGUCCUAGCCGUAAACGGUGAUCACUAGGUGUCGGAGGCAUCGACCCCUCCAGUGCCGCAGCUAACGCAUUAAGUGAUCCGCCUGGGGAGUACGGCCGCAAGGUUGAAACUCAAAGGAAUUGACG